AAGAAUUCAUCGGUCGAACAGACCGUUUUCUAUAAAUUCUUCUUUAUAGAGUAUUCUUAAUCCAACAUCGAGGUCGUAAUUUAUUUUAUCAAUGGGAUCUUUCUAAAAAUUUUACG
rnacentral:rRNA from 1 species